UUCCGGUUGAUCCUGCCGGACCCGACUGCUACCAGAGUGAGAUUAAGCCAUGCGAGUUAACGUAGCAAUACGUGGCGCACGGCUCAGUAACACGUAGUCAACAUGCCCAGAGGACGUGGAUAACCUCGGGAAACUGAGUCUAAACCGCGAUAAGUGAGGAUUUCUGGAAUGGUUCCUGACUAAAAUCUAUAUGGCCUCUGGAUUGGACUGCGGCCGAUCAGGCUGUUGGUGAGGUAAUGGCUCACCAAACCUGUAACCGGUACGGGCUCUGAGAGGAGGAGCCCGGAGAUGGGCACUGAGACAAGGGCCCAGGCCCUAUGGGGCGCAGCAGGCGCGAAACCUCUGCAAUAGGCGAAAGCCUGACAGGGUUACUCUGAGUGACUUUCGCUAAGAAAGUCUUUUGGCACCUCUAAAAAGGGUGCAGAAUAAGGGGUGGGCAAGUCUGGUGUCAGCCGCCGCGGUAAUACCAGCACCCCGAGUGGUCGGGACGAUUAUUGGGCCUAAAGCAUCCGUAGCCGGUUCUGCAAGUCCCCCGUUAAAUCCAGCUGCUCAACAGAUGGGCCGCGGAGGAUACUACAGAGCUAGGAGGCAGGAGAGGCAAGCGGUACCCAGUGGGUAGGGGUAAAAUCCGUUGAUCCAUUGAAGACCACCAGUGGCGAAGGCGGCUUGCCAGAAUGCGCUCGACGGUGAGGGAUGAAAGCUGGGGGAGCAAACCGGAUUAGAUACCCGGGUAGUCCCAG
rnacentral:rRNA from 1 species